rnacentral:rRNA from 1 species
GACCUCAGAUCAGGCAAG